rnacentral:rRNA from 1 species
UACGAAGGGGGCUAGCGUUGCUCGGAAUCACUGGGCGUAAAGGGCGCGUAGGCGGACGUUUAAGUCAGGGGUGAAAUCCCGGGGCUCAACCUCGGAAUUGCCUUUGAUACUGGAUGUCUCGAGACCGGAAGAGGUAAGUGGAACUGCGAGUGUAGAGGUGAAAUUCGUAGAUAUUCGCAAGAACACCAGUGGCGAAGGCGGCUUACUGGUCCGGAUCUGACGCUGAGGCGCGAAAGCGUGGGGAG